AAAGUGGGUGGGGAACGUGUAUUUCGAGUCGCUGGAACUUCAUAAUGAAGCUGCUUUUGUGCAAUAUUCAGCGACGUUACCAGCUGUGUGUUAGACGAAACGUAAAUGCUUUGGUUUUGCAUCGUGUUUUGAGACUGUCAGGGUGACAUGAUGGAUUAAUUGUAGUUCUGGCUUCCAUAACUUUAAAUGUCGCUUUUUAUGAUUUUUGACUGGCGCGACUUUACAGGUCUGUCAAUACUAUAUAAACUGUACGCUGAAGUUUCUUUAGCUAGAUUAAUUGCUGUUUGAGUGACAAUAAAUGAACAUGUUUGUGUUUGGAGAUUGCUGAGGUUAAUAUCUUUACAAUUGGGAAAUCCCAACAUAAGUUGACUGCCAGUUUGACCACUGAUCUGCAUAAUAUCAGUGGGAGAGCAUGCUGAAUCCCGCAGCUUCUGCACCAUAUGUUUCCUGGCCGAGUGGUUGAAAGUUGCGACCACACAUUCCAUGGGUGAUGAUAUCUACCAAAAUUCUUGGCCGCACAGUUCUACCCUCGUCAGUUGCACUUGUCCGAGUCUUUCUCUGCCUCUCAACCAACUCGAGAUAUUCCCCCCCCCCCCCAACUGCAUCCCGGCACAGCUUCACAUCAACCCAUCUAAUUAAUUUGUCGGAAAGGUUGACCACACAAAUUUCCUGUUUGGUUGUGGAGAUAGAAUCAUUUUUUUUGUGAAAGUUUGAUUUCAGACACUUAAAAAUUGAAAUUGUCAUGUAUUAUUAGGCAUGACAGGCAUUCGCAAAGCAUCUCAAUCAAGUAUUUAUUAUUUUACUUUGUCAAUGAUAAUUCAUUUUGUAUGCUAUUCACCUGUUUGCCUUGCUUUUUAUAUGAAUGACACUAAAAAGGAAAGCAUUUGUAAAGAAUUAGUUAAUUUUUUUUAUAUAAUCUUAGACCAGAUGUUUAGUGAAUAUUUGUCAUAAAUUCUUCUUUAACUGAUCAAAUCUGUCAUAUUUUAUUUAAAACGUGUUAAGUAUAUUUGUGUUACGUGAUAAAUGUUUAUCGUUACUGUUUUAAAUUGCAGCUUAUGAA